rnacentral:sRNA from 1 species
GUUGUCAGAUGAGUUGCUGUACACCUCAGCUCUAUACACAAAAAUGUGUAACUGUACCCAGUUCAUACAUUAAGAUCCAGAAAGAUCUAACGAAAAGUAUUGUUUGGCAGCCUGACUUGGUCCAGAUUCAAAGGUAAGUUUUAAAAAGCUCUAAGAGGAAAUUGAGGUAUUUGUGAUGCAUAGGAAUUCCAUUGAGAAUAAAAUUUACUAUUAUAAUUCCUUCAUUACUCAAUGUUACUGAAAAUACUUGAACGAAAGCAACUUGAUUUGUCUACCCAAUUUUACGCAUUGAUUUACAUUUGCUUUCAGCAAUUGACAGUAAUGUUUUAUAAAUGAAUCAUUUCUGCAAGUGACGUUGCAAUAAAUGUUAGCUUUCCCCUUAUAAUGACAUUUGUCCUUUUCUUCCUUGCCAUGGGUUUUGAUUUUUUCCCCUAUUAUUGUCUCUUUGAGGGUUUUAUUUUUAAGAGAUUGCAUGCCACCAGAAUCUGAACAACAAUAACAAAAACCUAGUACCUUCUGGAAGUAGAAUUUACUCUUUUGCCGUUGGCAGGCAAAUACGCCAUGCGAGACCUGGUCAACCGGCUCCCCGGCGGCAAUGGCCCCAGUGUCUUGUCUGAUGAGACCAUGGCAGCCAUCUGCUGUGCUCUGCACGAGGUCACCAGCAAAAACAUGGAGAACGCAAAAGCCCUGGCCGACUCAGGAGGCAUAGAGAAGCUGGUGAACAUAACCAAAGGCAGGGGCGACAGAUCAUCUCUGAAAGUGGUGAAGGCAGCAGCCCAGGUCUUGAAUACAUUAUGGCAAUAUCGGGACCUCCGGAGCAUUUAUAAAAAGGAUGGGUGGAAUCAGAACCAUUUUAUUACACCUGUGUCGACAUUGGAGCGAGACCGAUUCAAAUCACAUCCUUCCUUGUCUACCACCAACCAACAGAUGUCACCCAUCAUUCAGUCAGUCGGCAGCACCUCUUCCUCACCAGCACUGUUAGGAAUCAGAGACCCUCGCUCUGAAUACGAUAGGACCCAGCCACCUAUGCAGUAUUACAAUAGCCAAGGGGAUGCCACACAUAAAGGCCUGUACCCUGGUAAGACGCCAGUUGGGUGUGUGAUACAGUCUCUUGAAAAGCCGCAUUUCCAGGCGCUUGGCCAGUGGCCUGGGAAGUAGCCUGUGCUUGUAUUGAGACAGUCCCCCAGCAGCAAACCAUGUUCCAGUCAUUCCCUUUCCUACUUUGGGGAUUGUUGCCUUUUCUGCUUGUUUAAAGUAAAACAAGCAUGUACUUGUUUGUAUGUAUGUAUGUAUGUAGUUGUACGGUGGGCACAAAUAAAAAGAGGGCUGUAUCCAAAUAAAUCAUUUCUGGCUGCUCACUGGCACAGUCCCUUUGCUCCGUCCCCUCCUGGCUCGAGCAGUCUCUGUGUUUUCCACAUGCGUCAGAACCGUCAGCCCGGUGUCACUUUGCAGGGGCCACAUCUUCUAGACUGGCUCAUCUCUUAAAUUCAAACCAGAGAAUGGAGAUCAAUUUCAUUUACAUUUUCAUGGAGAAGAGUUUGAAUAAAUAGCAAAAGGUAUUAUGUG